rnacentral:sRNA from 1 species
AAUGUGGAAGGUUGUUGUUAUUUUGCUCUACUUUGGUUCUAGAAGGAUACAGGAAAUAAAAGGGAAACCAGAGUGAACACAGAGGUUAAGAUUCUUCUGCACAGUCAGUAUCCUCGGGAGUUCGUGCACCAUCUCCUGCCCCAUCAUCAGUACCCUUAGGGUCAGAAAAGCCCAGCAAUGUGUCUCAGGACAGGAAAGUUCCAGUCCCUAUUGGGACUGAACGUUCUGCACGUAUCAGGCAAACUGGAACGUCAGCUCCAUCUGUUAUUGGGAGCAAUUUGUCUACAUCAGUAGGACAUAGUGGCAUCUGGUCCUUUGAAGGGAUUGGUGGCAAUCAAGACAAAGUAGACUGGUGUAACCCUGGGAUGGGAAAUCCUAUGAUCCACAGACCGAUGUCUGACCCAGGAGUAUUUUCACAACAUCAAGCAAUGGAGCGAGAUAGUACAGGAAUUGUAACUCCUUCUGGUACAUUCCAUCAGCAUGUUCCUGCAGGCUACAUGGACU